GCCCACAGCCCUCCUCCCGCCCCGCUGCAGGGUGGCUUGCCUGCUCUGAGCAGUGCAGCCAGCGUCACACCUGAGUCCAGGAGAUGGCGUCCCUGCCAGCCACAUGCCCAGGAGGAGCUCCUGUUCCCCAAGUGGCAAGGUCAGGCCCUGCUGGGGCCAUGCCCGCGUCCAGAGAGGCAUGGAGAUGGCCAAGAGCCACAGUGACGAAGCCAAAGGUCAUUUUUAAAAGCACUUCUGUCCCUGGUCCAAGUGGGGAGACAAAGAAAGGCUAGAAAGAAAAAACACAGUAUUGUGAAACUCAAACAGAUGUUUGCCAACAAAAUCACCAGGAAGCAGAAAAGAGGGAAGAAGUAAGAAAGGAGCAGGGCGGGGGAGGCAGGAUUUAAAGCAAGGUGGGCUGGCGGGCUGGGAGAGGCGGGGAGAAUGUGCUUCCAUCUGUAGUGAGCACAAUAAAAUCCGGUCACGCGGCGUCACAUGGGGCUUUAUUAUAAUCAGGCCGCCGAAUUUGUGGAGGCUCCCUCCCUGCCCGCUCUCGGUGCGCUGGCAGUACAGGCUGUUAUCAGCGGCGAGCAGCUUUCCAGCACCUCCCCCCGCUCGGAGCCCUUCAUCCGGAGAUGCAGACACUGAGCCCAGAGGAGACGGCGGCUUGCCCAGUCGCAGAGCUAGCAGAGGACAAGGAAGAUGGUAAUCCUCCAGGAGCCGUAAGCCCCACAGUCUGAGGAACCCGAAGUGCUUCGCGCAGGGCCCGGCUCGGAGCAAAUGCCGCUUUUGCCCUGGGCUUCACCCAGCACCCACUCGCUGCUCUCCCACCAGGUGCAGGCCCUUCACGGGUGCUGGGGUGCAGCAGUGAGCACGCAGCCAAGGUACCUGCCUCGUGGAAGGGACACUCCAGUGGGGGAGUCAGACAGACAGGCGCCAAGGAAAAACCCACCCAUGUUGCAGUGCUGGGAAGUGAUAAGUGUAUGAAACGAAGUGAAGGGCAAGUUGAGGGGUGGUAUAAACAGGUACCCACAGUGGGAGCCGUGACUGUUACUGCGACUGUGGCGUCACCAUCGCCACUCCUGCUCUGACACUGGCUCACUUCCAACAUGGCCAAGCUCCUACUGUGUGCAGACGCCUGAGCACAAAGACAAGUGUGGCCCGCCCCAACCUCCGCAGGUACAGAGAGGACAGGAACCUUCCUCCUGAUGGAAGCAGAACUCCAUCUGGGGACAAGCUAACUCACAGGCAGGGGCUAGUGAGGGGCUCUGCGAGGGUUAUACCAAUAAUCAGUAACCCCAACGACCAGGACACCUUCAGAGCCUCAAAGAUUGAAGCAUCCUCCCUCCUGACUAGAACAAGGCUUCGAGACCAGUGGUCCCCAAGCACCUUGCACGCCAGGGCCGGGCCUCAAGGUCUGCUAACCAUGAGGGCACAAGAAACGCAGACGCCUCGGGAGGCUCGCAGACAACAGGUCUAGCUGAUUAAAGGACUGCUCUUUAAUCUGAGAAUUUUGCUCCCCUCAUAUUUCUUUUUCCUGUAAAACACACCCAUUCUUUUACGAGGACAAUGGAGAUGGUAUAUGGGAGACUUAUUUUUUUAAUCCUUAUUUUAAUAAACUGGUAACCCAACGGUACGGUAGGGGCGAGGGGUGUUACCGUUGUGCAAAAUCUUAAUGUCUGGGUAAAGGACUACCAGCGUCCUUUUCAAAACUUCUCUAAAGGUCUUUGAUUCUAAGAUGCGGUCAUGGUCCCCAGAAGGAGUGGUUCUCAACUAGGGGCUGCACCGCCCCCUAGAGGGCAUCUGGGAAUUUAUCACGCUCGCUGGGGACACUCCUGACCUUCAGCAGACAAGGUCCAGGGAUGCAGAAUGUCUCACAAUUUGCAGAACAGUCCCGAGAACGAAGAACUGUGCCAAUGGCCAAGGGUCAACGGCGCCCCCUCUGCUCUGACUGCGAAGCAUUAACUCACAGGUGGGGCCCACUGUCCCUUCCCUGUCCUGCCUUUGCAGCUGCUGGACACCAGAGGGCACUGCGCCAUCCACGGACCCUGGAGAAUAAACACUCCUCCACCAGCCACCGCCAGUCACCAGGCAUGCUGUUAUUUUCACAUGCUCUGUUCUGAAUUGCUGUUGACAGACGCUAGUUUUUUAAAAUCCUUUAACUGACAAGCUAAAAAGCUGACUACCUUAUAUUCUACCCAUAAUGUUUAUGCUCUUUUUUUAAGGACAUUUUAUAUGCCUAUAAAAUCCAAGAGUCUGAGAUGCCCUGGUCUCCAGGAUGAAUAAGGACUUUAAGCCAAACACCUGAUAAACAAUUCGCUGCUGUCCCUUGCUCUCCUUCCUUCCUUCGUCCCCUGUCUCAGGACACCCUCAUCUUAGACUCAGCUCUUACCUGUUUCUGGCACCGCCCUGGCCUUUUCUGCAGGAUCCACUGGUGCAUCUUGGGGUUCCUUCUUCUGUGGGGCUGAGCUGGAGAAGACGCCCACUGGAGCCCACUCCAGAUAGAGGGGGAUGUGGUGAAACUGUGGAGACAGGGGCAGGGUAGGGACUCAGUCCCUGAUGUCGAUGAAGAGCCCGAGGCUCAGAGAGGUUGGCUGACUCACCCCAGGGAAGGGAGGCAGGAGGCGGAGCACAGCCCAGAACUCUGCCUGCUCCCUGAUCCCUAAGAACACACGGGGGCCCCGCUGCAGCUCGGGGCUCAGGGGAGAGGCCUGAGCAUGUGCUGUCAUUGGACACAUUUGUGUCCCGUGUUUUCUCUCAUCAGAGUAUGAAUGGGGAGCAGGAGGGACGGGGAGCAGAAUCACUGACAACGGGCAGCUCUCCCGGAGGAAGAACGCGCUCCCUCUCUCGCCACAUACACACACUCACAGGCAGGGCACGCUCAAAUGUGUGCAAAAAAAAAAACGUAAGUUUUUUUAAAAAAGAUAAACAAGAUACUGAUAAAUAGUCUGCAGAGCAGCGUUAAAGUGCCUGAUAAACAAAAGCUAUUUGUAGCAGGUUGAAUGGCGGCCCCCCCUCAAAAGAUGUGUCCACGGCCUGACCCCCAGAACCUGCGAAUGUGACCUUAUUAAAAGAAAGGUCUUCGCAAAUGUCAUUAACUGAAAGAUCUUAAGGUGAGAUCAUCCUGGAUUAUCUGGGUGGGCCCUAAAUCCAGCAACGAGUGUCCUCGUAAGAGAAAGGCAGAGGGAGAGUGGAGAUGGAGAAAAGGAGACGGCCACAUGAGACAGAGGCAGAGACUGGCACAAUGCAGCCACAAGCCAAGGAUACCUGGCACGAACGGAAGCUGGAAGAGGAAAGGAAGGACCCACCCCUAGAGCCUUCACAGGGAGCGCGGCCCUGGUGACCACCUUGAUCUCAAACUUCUGACCUCCAGACCAUGAGACGCUAAGUUUCUGCUGAUUUAAGCCAGCAAGCUUGGGAUAACUUGUUAUGGCGGCCAUGAGAAACUAAUACACUAAUAUUAAAAUAUA